CAUCUGAUUUUUUUUCAUGGUAACCUUAAUCGAGAAACUUAUUCUGGCUUUGCUUGUGGACUGCAGAAACAAGCUUUAUAAGGUUUGUUCUUUGUUUAGUUUUAGCCCUGUUUGGUAGAUUGUUUGCUUAGGGUUCAUCUCUUUUUGUAAGCAUUUGAAAAAAGAAAAGGAAAAUUAGAACACCUAAUCAUAAUUUCCUUGGGGCCUGUUUGACAAGCAGGAAUCUGUGGGAGAAGAAAGGAAUUCUUUAUCAUUAUUUCCCAAUGUACCAGUUCCAGGUUGGCAAGCUGCUACACCUCAUGGCAUGGGAUUUGGCAUGCAAUGUCAAUGCCUGCAUUUCCCCAGAUAUCAAAAACUACUAACCCAUUUGAUCUUGGCACUGAACCAACUCCAAUUCAUGCCCCAAUGGUUGUGAAAUGUGAGUUGCUGGUUGUCCCUGUAAGGGAAUUACCAUCUGAGAAAUGUCCAACCUAGCUCUCUAGUUCCCAAUCAGCUAUAUUUUAAUCCUGCUACUGUGAAAAUGUUGAGUAACCUGAAGUAUGAAAGCAAUGCGUGGUUCGUAAGGUGGUCAACCAUGUGCAGUAAGCUUUCAGAUCAGAGCGAAGCUAAGAAUAGGGUGUUAGUUGAUGGAAAAUUGAUAACCAGUAGAGGCACAUCCAUGGAGUUGUCGCUUGCGAUUGUUGAGAAGCUAUUUGGCUGCGAGAAGGCAUUGGAUCUUGCUGUCAAUGAGAACUUUAAAUAGACAUAUAACUAUUAUGUUGGUAUUGUACUUUUGUCAAUGGAUUAAAAUGAAUGAUUGUAUUUGAUUGAAUGAAUGAAAGAUUGCAUUUGAUUGAAUGAAUAAAUAAU